rnacentral:snRNA from 1 species
GUGCUUGCUUCGGCAGCACAUACACUAAAAUUGGAAUGAUAAAGAAUAAGA